rnacentral:rRNA from 1 species
UACGUAGGUGGCGAGCGUUGUCCGGAUUUAUUGGGCGUAAAGCGCGCGCAGGCGGCGCGGUAAGUCCGAUGUGAAAGCGCCCGGCUCAACUGGGCGAGGUCAUUGGAGACUGCCGUGCUGGAGGGUGGCAGAGGCCGGUGGAAUUCCCGGUGUAGUGGUGAAAUGCGUAGAGAUCGGGAGGAACACCAGUGGCGAAGGCGGCCGGCUGGGCCAUACCUGACGCUGAGGCGCGAAAGCGUGGGGAGCGAACCGG